rnacentral:rRNA from 1 species
UGGGGAAUAUUGGGCAAUGGAGGAAACUCUGACCCAGCGACGCCGCGUGCGGGAUGAAGGCCUUCGGGUUGUAAACCGCUUUCAGUAGGGAAGAAGCGAAAGUGACGGUACCUACAAAAGAAGCACCGGCUAAAUAUGUGCCAGCAGCCGCGGUAAUACAUAGGGUGCAAGCGUUGUCCGGAAUUAUUGGGCGUAAAGAGCUCGUAGGUCGUUUGUUACGUCGGAUGUGAAAACCUGAGGCUCAACCUCAGGCCUGCAUUCGAUACGGGCAAACUAGAGUUUGGUAGGGGAGACUGGAAUUCCUGGUGUAGCGGUGGAAUGCGCAGAUAUCAGGAGGAACACCAAUGGCGAAGGCAGGUCUCUGGGCCAAUACUGACACUGAGGAGCGAAAGUCUGGGGAGCGAACAGGAUUAGAUACCCUGGUAGUCCACCACCGUAAACGGUGGGCACUAGUUGUGGGAACCUUCCACGGUUUCUGCGACGCAGCUAACGCAUAAGUGCCCGCCUG